AUUUUGGGAAGAGAUUCUUUUCACUUUUUACUCCUUCAGGACUUGCUCAUCCAUAAAUGGCAAUCCAUUUAAUGCCCUUGUUGUCUUCCGCCAGCAAAUCGAAUUAAAAGGGUAACUUUGUUGAUUUUCGACCUUUUUUUUUGUUUUCCAGUACGAAUUACAGCUGUUAAAGAUUAAAAUUCAAAAUUCAAACAAAUUUUUGAUAUGGGAAAAGUCCCACAUCGGUUCAAAGCAUAAAUUGGUACUCUUAGUUCUUCUAUAAAUACAGAACCCCUCUCUUCAUUUUACAACAACACAAGUUCAGAGACCAAAAAAAUUGGGUUUUUACACCCACAAAGGGGUUUCUACACCCCAAGGACUUGAACACUCAGAAACAUGACAAAAGUCCUGAGUUUUGAGGAAGUUCUCGCUAAAACAUAAUUUUUGGAAGUCGAUUUCCGCUCGUCAGAAUCGAUUGGGGUGAAAGGUGGCAUCGUCAACUCUUGGCGCCCCCACCGCUGCUCGACAAACUUCUUUCCGUCUCUUUAUUGUUCUUCCUAUGUGUUCAUGUAUUUGUUUAAAUUAGCCUGUUCAGUGGCAUGAUUAUGUGAUUUACUAGUGGAUUAAUUAGAUGCCUUUAAUUAGGAACAAUUAGUGAUCUUAUGUAUUAUAUUUUGAUAAUUCCAGGUUGCUAUCUAUCUAAUUGUUAAUUCGAGCACAUUUGUUAUAAGCUUGGCAACAUGCUAGUCAUAUGAUAAAUGAAUAGGACUUGUAACUAAUUUACAGCUCUAUUAUGUGGCAGAUUGCUUCAUUAUCCAUGCUUAGACUAGUCCAUAAAUAUGUGUUGAAGUAGCUAAUGGUCAUAUCUAUGACCAGCUCCUUUUGAAGAGGGAUAACUUAAAGAUCUGGAACAGAAACGAGCAGUGGUAUAAAUCUUUGUGAACCAACUAAUUAAAAAGCUGAUUUGGAUCUGGCAAUGGUAUAAAAACUGGAUGUUUUGCUUAAAUGCCAUAUGAUCUUUUACUGAAACAUGAAGUUGAUGGACUUGUUUACUUGGUUAUGAUCUAUGUGAUUUCAUCUUUUCCAUUUAGUCUUUUAUGUAGUCAAUCCUGGAGGUCCUCUAUAUUGGGAUGAGUCAUAAAUAAAUGUGGAAAGGGACCACAUGUGUGCUAUGAUCAUAAAAUCAACAUUCAAUUAUAGGGAUAGGUACUGAGUAUCAAAAUACAAGCCCUUAAGAUGUAUUGUAUGUCUAGCAUGGUCUGUUAGUUAGAAGAUGACUAAAAAUCAGAAAACUUUGAAUUAGUAGAAGGUAAGCCUGGUCAUCUAGGCUAACCAUAUGCAUUCUCUAAUUGAAAUACUGGUCUAGCUCUCCCUGUUUGGAAAAUUCUAGGGUGAUUGAAAUGUAAUAGCAAUGGCUAUUGUUUGGAUUUAGUUUGAAGUAUAAGUUGUCCCCUUAUUUUUUUUAGCUUUUUGUUCACUAUGAUGUGCUAUUAAGAUUCCAGUGGUGUGUCUUCCCUAAUGAGCUUCACAAGCUACUGAUUCCUCUUUAUGUUGUCUAUAUGCAAAUGAUUCAUUUAAAUUAUAGCUAGCUUAUCAAAACUGUCCAAAUUCAGUUGUUUUAGUGAGACUAGGUGUCAUCUAGACCUUAAUAAUUGCUGGAGAUGUUCUCUAAAUAUUGUUGAGUUCCAGUAAUUUUCCAAAUCUGUAGCAAAUCUCUUUUCACUGUGCUAUUUAGGACAAAACAGGAUGCAAAUUAGUGUGAUCUUUUAAGAUGGCUAACUUUGUUUGAAGUGAUGAUUUCUUCUGAGAACUGCUGGACUAAUAGUUUAAGACAAUUGACCUUUCCUUUAAUUUAAAAUGCUGGUCCUAGAACUGGUUAGGAAUUUCAUGAAUAUUAUUGUUGUGAUUUCCUUUUUCUUUAGCCAGGUGAUAUUACUACUUAUUCUGGUUGGAAUGACUAUAUGAUUCUUAAAGAAAGAUUGAGGGAACAUCUUUUAUUGACACUUAACAUCUCCUAUUACAAGUAGAUUUUAUGAAACUGAAUCUGGAUCUUAAAUGAUAAACUAAGGCAAGCUUAGGGAUUGGUUUAACCUCCUCCAAUGGCCUACCAUGCUGAGGUUCUAGAAACCUUUGGAUCUUGUGUGGCAUUGGAAGAUGGAUGGUGGUAACCCCCUUUUUAUAUCUUGUCUUUUAAACUGAUGGUUUAGUUUGACGAUUCAUGAUUAGUUUUAAGUUUACUUUUUAUUUUCUUUCUUUAAAAUGCUGAGUUUGUUUGAUGUUGCACUUAGCUCCCUUUUUAUAUCUUGUCUUUUAAACUGAUGGUUUAGUUUGACGAUUCAUGAUUAGUUUUAAGUUUACUUUUUAUUUUCUUUCUUUAAAAUGCUGAGUUUGUUUGAUGUUGCACUUAGCUCUACUCAUCUCUUCAGUUAUUAGCCUCAUGUAUGAUUCAAAUUUGUGCAAUAAAGUUGUGCUUGACUCUGUUGCUUUCUGAGGAGUUUGUUGUUGCUGUGUAUGAAACCCCCAUUUGCUGUCCAUUCUCCAUCCUAAAAAGGGAAACUGGUAAAGCUCAUGUUUCCAUUUAUCUAUCUCUAAACAUGUCUAGAAGCAGGUUGUUCACUUUAUUAUGUAUAAUUUUCCAGAGUAAUAGCAAAGAUAAAAAUGUUUUGAUUAAGACUAGGUUUGAUCCCUCACAUGUGUUAAGAAUCUCAAAACCCCUCAAGACACCAGUUGUAAACUCUAUUGCCCUUUUGGAAUCUGUCCUUUGUAGUUUAAAUCAGUGAUCCUUGAGUGUAAUUUCAACUUUGUUCUCUUAAGUUCUAUAUUUUCAUUGCAAGUAAGUUCAAGUCAUCAUCCUGGUAAAGCUUCAAUGUUCAAGUUUGGAAAGAACAUGUUCUUAUUAGCAGAAUCACUUUUGGGCUUCAAAAAUUUUGGUUAGCUAGUCUUCUUUGACUAAUCUAUUUCAUCCUAUAUCUGUGAAGUGCUUCAGAUUGUCAAUGUUGUUUCAAGUUUGUUGUUCUACCCUUUGAGCUUAAUAUUGUGUGUUACAACCUGUUCCUAUUUGAUGAGUUCCAGUUAUUUUGUCUCCCUUUAUUUGACUACACAUGUUGUUGUACAGGGAAGAUGAAGGUAGUUUAUAGGGUAGUUUGAAAGAAUAGAUCAUUGUUAAUAUAUGCUUGUGUUCAUAUUUAGAAAAAUAACAGGUUCACUAUCAGAACCCCCUAUUUGCAUUAGUUUAGCUAAGCCUAGAGUAAGGAGUCACUGUUUGGGCAUACAAACCUUAGAAAGUUGUUCAUAUAAAACUAAAAUGGCUAAGUACAUUUGCUUUGGCUCAUGAAUUGUAGUAUGUGCUUACUUGGUUGUUCUUCAUUAAUAGUCCUGAAUGAAAUGUUUGAAGAUCCAUCAAUAAGCUCUUAUUUUAAAGCUAAAUGAAUAUUAUAAAAUCUGUCUUGGGAUUCUUUUUUUGGUUUAGGCUCAUCCACUUUUGAAACCUUAGCCUCAGUCUUUGUUUAUUACAUUAAUCCUUCAGCAUGUCAAAAUACAGUAUGCUCUCUUGUUAAUAGUCUGCUAAGCCUGUAUUUUCUUGAUACUUAUUCUUCAUUCUCUCUUUUCUUUGCAUAACUUGGGGGACAUCUCCCAAAAACCCAUUAUCCAUGAGAUGCUGCCAAAGUUGAGCUUCUGCUGUACUUCUGCUGCACAUUUGGCUGAAAACACUGUGCCAACUAUUGUGCUUAAAUUUUGCGCCUUUGAUGAGGACAAACACUACAUCAUGAGCUCUGCUAUAAUUUGGGGCAAAGUUGUCCACUGCCUUUGAGGUAAACUCCUGUUAUUUAUCAUUGCUGCACUUGCCGUGCUGCCUAGAUUGUAGUAUCUUGCCAUUUGCUGCACUUGCAAAAUCCUCAAGUGCUGUGCUUUGGCACUUGAACUGCUAUACACAAUUAAUGCUUCACAUUCUGAUACCCUUGCUACUGUAUGAAACUGUUGUGCUGAGCUACUUAAUUUGGUUCUUGUCGCCUGUUGUGCUUCUUUCACUUUGAGUUUGAGAACAUGUUGUUCCUUGAGUUUGGUUUGCUACAGUUGAUCCAUCUUAAACAACUAUUGUUGUUGGGCAUGUGUUAUACUACUUUUGGGAAGCUGCUAUGUUUGAAUGGAAAAAGAAAAAUAAACUGCUGCUAUACUUUUGGGCAAAAUAAGCUGCUGCUAUACUUCUUUUUGGCAAAUUGUUGCCCUUUAUUCAUAAAGAACAGAUGCCAUAUUUGAUGAAAGUAAAGCAGGUGCUGCUGCUAUGUUCUUAAAAAGGAACAGAUUACUACAUUGGGAAAGUCCACUGAUUAGAAUUUGAUACUACACUAGGGCCAAUGAAAAAAAUGACGUUGGAGGCCAUGCCUAGUCCAGAAAGGUUAUCCCUCAGUUUGGGCAAAGAUGAUCUCACAUUGAUAUCACGAGAUAGGAACCGACAUGCGCCUGGAAAAGCAAUUAGAAUGGCCACUAGUUUGCAGCCGCGGCAUGAUCCAGGCUCCUUUGCCAUGUUUGGAACCAUGAGUCUGAGCCUCCAUAAUCAAAGCUCUCAAAGUUUGAUACGAGUCCGAGGGAUAUUAUAUUUUAUGUUCCUAAUGUCACCCUAUGGGGUGUCGUGUCAUUUUGACUAACUACUAUCCUUUUCACUGUGCGAGGUACCAAUAAAACAAGCACGGAGAGCAAGUCUUAAGGACAAAGUAAAAGGAUCGGACGUUUAAAGCUUCGAACGAAGGACUAGAAGAGUGCGGGAUUCGGGCCCAAGGCCGACAGAGCUAAGUUUUCUUCCCUCUCUUUACUUUGUAUAAAACAUGCCUAUUUUAUACAUUUACAUUCAUCUUGUAUGAACGUACUUUUUUGUUGUAAAUGUUUUGGGUAUAACUAUUGAAACCCUUACAGGUUAGAACCUAGGAUUUGGGUAGACAAUAUUUCAAAAUUGCAUCCAAACGAUAAAAGAGUUGUAUUCCACUUGAUUAAAGUGAAUAAAAAUGGAAUUAUAUUUUCUUGCACAAAGUUGAUUGUCUUUGAACAUGUCGUUAAAAGUAUAUUUUAUAAUUGGAGAAAGCAUAAGAAAAGAAAGUCCAGAAACGUUUGGGCUAGACCGAACUUAACGAAUUCGAAUAAAUGGAAUUUCCUUCCGGGCCCAAGUUUGGGAUAUGCCCAGUAUACUAUCCUUAUAAGUAAAAGGACAAUAUUAUUGACAAUAUUAUUUUAUCACGGAUGUUUUUAAUCCGAACUUAAACUACCCUUAUUUAAAGGGAAAUUCUUUAAUUCUUUUAAAGCCAAAAUGAUAUGCCACGAUGGUAUUUUUUAUACGGGAAACUAAACAAAACAUAAGCAGUUCAUACAUAAUCACACAUUGAAGCUCGAAGGUCAAUCGUAUUCUAUGGAUCCUUAAUAUUGGGGAGCUUAACACUUUCCCCAAGGGAGCACCAGAACCCUUAUACAGAACUCUGGAUUACGAAGAAUUUUUCACUAUAUUUGAAUACACCCUUCACCACUGGUUUACCACGACUCUUUUUCAAAACAAGUCCGAAAGAGCACCAACAAGUUCAUAGUAGCUUUUAUGCAUCCACGUAAAAUGUGAACCGUAACACAACACAUUAUAAGUGCAGGUGUAUUGGCAAGUUUAAAAGGGAUAUCAAGCAGAAAUCGAAAGUGGAAGGCUCAAUGUGCGAAGUUUAGCCAAGGAAACAUCUCAUUUCUGUUGUUACUACUUUGAGAACUAUGUGGCUUGUUUGAGAAAUAGGCCUAAUUGACACUAUGAUGGAGGUGUGAAUAAUUCUUUGCCGGAGCUGAUAUCGAUCUUUAAUCAACCAGGUGAUAGGUCAAAAAUACAUGUGAGACCAUUGAAUCAAAUGGAGGAUAAAUCGGCAUCCACACAUAUCUUGUUAAAUUUCCCAGAAGUUCAACCUUAUUAUGAUCUCUUUGUGGAGAUAUAUGGCCAAGAAAAAGUACGACCAAUUUGCAACGUGGUUUAACAAUUACGUUCACAAUACACCUUGUGGUUUUUAUGAACAAUUUUUGAAGGACUUAUCUUGGGGACCCAUUGGUACCAAUUGUAUGGACAAAUAUCUUGUUAAUGGUUUCAAAUUUAAUACCCGAGAAUGUGCUAACCAUAUGAAAAUUAAUAACAGUGGUGUGUGGGUUAAAGGUGCUUAUGGUGUUGAUUUUUUUGGUGUAAUCGAAGAGAUUUUAGAAUUAGAGUAUUCUAGUUGGCCAAGGAAAAAAAAUUGUUUUGUUUCGGUGCAACUAGUUUGAUCCAACCCCAAAAAGAGGUACGACUGUACUGAAAGAUUCCAAUAUCAUUGAAGUAAAGCACUCGCUGAGGUAUGCAGCUUAUGAUCCUUUCGUCAUUGCAUACAACGUUAAGCAAGUGUACUAUGUCCCGUAUCCAUUGCGACCAGAUAAGUCAGAUUGGUGGGUGGUUAUUAAAACCAAGCCUAUUGGUCGUGUGGAAGUUGAGAAUGACCUGUCUGCCUUUCAGAAUGACGGCAUAACACACGCUAACCGAAUAGUCAACCUUGAGUUAGAAACUGAACUGGAGCAUGCAAAACAUAUAUUAGAAGAAAUCGGUAUAGAAGAAGUUAAUGAAGUUUUAGAAGAAAAUGUUGAAAGUGAAACACCCGACGAGGAAGAAUGGUUCGACGAGGAAGAAAGUGAUGAAAAUUAGCAUGUUUUUCAUUUUAGAAGUAUUAAAUAUGUGUCGUUUUAUUUAUUUGGUUGUAAGACUUAUUAGUAUCUGAAUACUUAAGCUUUCUUUUGUAUUACAAGUUAUGAUUGUUGUGUACUGCUUGAUAUUUUUAUGCAAUUAUGAGUUAUGAUUGUUGUGUAAAUGUUAAGAGUUGAUACAUAUGAUCCAAAAAAUUUAUGAAACAGUGUUGGAAAAGAAAAUUGAAACAGUUUCUCUUCUUCCUUCUCUUGUUUUUUUCAUUAGUUGGUGUUCUUUUUUUUUUUUUAUUUUUUUUUUUUAUGCAUAUUGUCAUUUUAUAUGAUCUUAAUCUUAUCCCAGAUUUAGUUACUUGCUUUCAUAGUCCUUUUUUAAUCUUUUAAUUGUUUUUAGCUUUAUCUAUAAUAUACUUUCUCAAACUUUACUUCUGAGAAAUGCUUUGACAAAAUCUCAUCCCAAGUUCUGGAUGUUCAGUUUGGAGUCUCCCAUGCAAGUCUGAAAUUGAGUACCCGAAAACAGAGAAUUGAGUACUCCAUUCUGUCGCGGUAGCUCUCUGUUCCUGUGGUUGUGUAGUACUUCUUUGCGGGUAAUAGAUGGACUGAAAUUUGAUAUUUACAAAAAUUGUGAAGGAAAACUUUACAAAAGUUAAAGUGACUAUUCUGUUUCACCUUUGAAUUAUCAAGAGGGAUAUCAACUGUUGCACCACAAUCAUAUUCAACAGGUUCAUGAGGAAGAGGUGAAAGCCUCGAAUUUAUAGCAGGAGGAACACUUGCAGGAUUCUGAAGAUUUCUUAGUGAGUAAAAUAGUGCAUAAGCAAGAUGAUACAUAAUCAUUCAUUGGUAUUGGAACUGAAGCAUGCAAAUCGGUAUUCUCACUAAUUUUGAUACAAUCAUGAAGAAUAUUCAUCUCAUAUUCUGUAAUAGGCUUGUAAAUUGAAUAUGUAAUCGAAUAGUAAAUUGGAAUGAACUGGGGAAUUUUUAUUGACUAUCGAAUUGGUAC